UCAAAUCAGGUAGGGACUACCCGCUUGAACUUAAGGAUA
rnacentral:rRNA from 1 species